rnacentral:lncRNA from 1 species
GGGGUAGGAACUUUUUAUCAAUGUCAAGGAUAAUCCUUGCUUUUUUGAGUGGAUUCAUUUAUUUAUGCCUGGUGCAGAUCAUUAAACAAAUACCACUAAUUUCACUUUUCCCAGUAAUAUUUUAUUUUCCAAAGUGUCUAUUAUAAUGCAUAUUCUUUCUUUACAAAUUCCUAUCUAAAAUCUUGAUAAAUGACAAGUAAAUAGCACGAAAUAAAAAUAUUGAGAUUGUUUGGAACUCUAAGCAAUAAAAAAUAAGGAAUAAAAAAAUACUCCAAG